UCUUUCACAUUUAGUCAUUUACUUUUGACUCUUCUUUAAUCAACGAAUUAAUUAUCUUCCUUACAAUUGUAUCAUGUCUUGUCGGUCUGCUCUACGUAAUUAUAUCAUGUCGACGAAUACAACUGAGAUAAUAAACUCUUUAUAAUCAAGUAGAAUACUAUUUAUAACGUAGUAUACAUUAUACAUGCAGACCAAGUUGUAUACAUUUAAAAAAGAAAAAAAAGUUGUAUACAUUUGAAAAGGUGUUUACGUAUAUGUCUGCUUAUUUCGAUCUAUAUAGCCUAUAGGUUACCAUAUAUAUAUUCGAAAUGUAUUUGACUAAAGCUCUGUAUUUUUUUCAAAGCUCCAUAAAUUAAUUAUAACUUAUUUUAUAAUAAUAUCUAGUGAAGACCUAAAUUGGAUGCAGAAGCAGGACAAGUCCAGUUGAGAAG
rnacentral:lncRNA from 1 species